AACGAACGCUGGCGGCAUGCCUAACACAUGCAAGUCGAACGAAGCCUUCGGGCUUAGUGGCGCACGGGUGCGUAACGCGUGGGAAUCUGCCCUUGGGUUCGGAAUAACAGUUAGAAAUGACUGCUAAUACCGGAUGAUGACGUAAGUCCAAAGAUUUGUCGCCCAGGGAUGAGCCCGCGUAGGAUUAGCUAGUUGGUGAGGUAAAAGCUCACCAAGGCGACGAUCCUUAGCUGGUCUGAGAGGAUGAUCAGCCACACUGGGACUGAGACACGGCCCAGACUCCUACGGGAGGCAGCAGUGGGGAAUAUUGGACAAUGGGCGAAAGCCUGAUCCAGCAAUGCCGCGUGAGUGAUGAAGGCCUUAGGGUUGUAAAGCUCUUUUACCCGGGAUGAUAAUGACAGUACCGGGAGAAUAAGCUCCGGCUAACUCCGUGCCAGCCGCCGCAGUAACAC
rnacentral:rRNA from 1 species